rnacentral:lncRNA from 1 species
ACAGAAACUGCAGAUACAUUCAGAUCCAACAUCUCUCCCUUAACAAAAUACAUACCGUUUACUUGUCUCAAUACAGACAGAGAAAGAGAGAGAAAAUAGUUAACAGAUAUUUUCUUCCUCAAAAAAUACACACCGUUUACUUUUCUCAGUAAAGAUAUAUCCACUACAGACAGAGAAAGAGAGAGAGAAAAAAUAGUUUACAGAUAUUUUCUGCCUCAAAAGACGCACAGUCGCAUGAUGAUGAUAUAUAGUGAACUCGAGAACGCAACGGGGAAGGUUGGUUUUUUAUAUAGAGAGAGAUAAAAGCUCGAAAUUCUAGAGCCAGAAAGCUGACUAGUAGCUGUGUUUUUCAGCAUGUGUAUAUUUUUAAGAGAGAGAAUUGGGUAUCGUGUAAAAUAAUAAAUUAAGGGUAAUUAAGGAGAAGAGUGGAAGAUUUUACAUUUAUGGAAGAGACUAAGAAAAAGAGAGAGAACAAAGUGAAUACACUAAUGGUGGUUGAAGUAAUGAUUGCCAAAGAGGUUUUCUAUUGGAGGAAGAAGAAGAAGACGAUGCAAUGAGAGAGAGAGAAUCACAACACAUCACAAGUUGAUAAAGGACGAGAAAGGGUGGUAGGGCCAACCCAAGGGGUG